ACUUACUGUCCACUGUGCUGGAUUGGGGGAUAAGUGGGGAGGGGACACUGUAUUGAGCCCAGCCUCGUGCAAUAACACCAUUUUCUCCUAUCACUAUUUUACCUCUCUAACAUCUAUUUCUUUGCUACUGAUCCCUAAAGACUAAGCAUUAAGGGAGAUCAUGUACGGAAUGCUGUUGAUUUGCCACCUGUACACCCUGCCCACCCUGGAAGCACCUGCCAGAAGUUUUCAUGUGCCUUGCUAGUUCCAGGUUUCUUACCUGAGGUUUUUCAGGCUGCCAACACUGAGGCCACUCAGGAGAGGCCAAACAUGCCUGUUCAGCCAGUAAAGGAGUAGGCUUGUGGUGAAUAAAUGCCCAGCUUCCUUGUCCUUCAGUGGCAUGAUUCUGAGGUGUGUUCCACUGUCUUUUGCAUGGACCACGGCAGGCGAAUCUCCAGUUGCUGCCAAGGAACUGGACAUCUACGAGGACACAACUGGAACUGCAUUACUGUCCACCAAUCUGCACCAUCCAGGAGCAAGUAUGGGCCAGCAGCCUGCGGGUACAACGAGGGUGAGUGGGCCAGGCUGUGGGCCCCAAGGCACUUUUUUUUAAUAGACUGAAAACUGGAUUAAUCUCUGCCAUCCACAGAGCACUAUGCAGUUUAUAAAGCUGUUUUCUUGUGUUUA